rnacentral:rRNA from 1 species
CCUACGGGUGGCAGCAGUGGGGAAUAUUGCACAAUGGGCGCAAGCCUGAUGCAGCCAUGCCGCGUGUGUGAAGAAGGCCUUCGGGUUGUAAAGCACUUUCAGCGGGGAGGAAGGCGGUGAGGUUAAUAACCUCAUCGAUUGACGUUACCCGCAGAAGAAGCACCGGCUAACUCCGUGCCAGCAGCCGCGGUAAUACGGAGGGUGCAAGCGUUAAUCGGAAUUACUGGGCAUAAAGCGCACGCAGGCGGUCUGUCAAGUCGGAUGUGAAAUCCCCGGGCUCAACCUGGGAACUGCAUUCGAAACUGGCAGGCUAGAGUCUUGUAGAGGGGGGUAGAAUUCCAGGUGUAGCGGUGAAAUACGUAGAGAUCUGGAGGAAUACCGGUGGCGAAGGCGGCCCCCUGGACAAAGACUGACGCUCAGGUGCGAAAGCGUGGGGAGCAAACAGGAUUAGAUACCCGGGUAGUC